GAGUUUGAUCAUGGCUCAGAUUGAACGCUGGCGGCAUGCCUUACACAUGCAAGUCGAACGGCAGCACGGGAGCUUGCUCCUGGUGGCGAGUGGCGAACGGGUGAGUAAUGCAUCGGAACGUAUCCUGGAGUGGGGGAUAACGUAGCGAAAGUUACGCUAAUACCGCAUAUUCUGUGAGCAGGAAAGCGGGGGACCUUCGGGCCUCGCGCUCUUGGAGCGGCCGAUGUCGGAUUAGCUAGUUGGUGAGGUAAAGGCUCACCAAGGCGACGAUCCGUAGCAGGUCUGAGAGGAUGAUCUGCCACACUGGAACUGAGACACGGUCCAGACUCCCACGGGAGGCAGCAGUGGGGAAUUUUGGACAAUGGGGGCAACCCUGAUCCAGCCAUGCCGCGUGAGUGAAGAAGGCCUCGGUU
rnacentral:rRNA from 1 species